UUUGAGACAGUGUUGUUGAGGUGGGUUUGAGACAGUGUUGUUGAGGUGGGUUUGAGACAGAGUUGUUGAGGUGGGUUUGAGACAGUGUUGUUGAGGUGGGUUUGAGACAGUGUUGUUGAGGUGGGUUUGAGACAGUGACGUCGAGGUGGGUUUGAGACAGAGUUGUUGAGGUGGGUUUGAGACAGUGUUGUUGAGGUGGGUUUGAGACAGAGUUGUUGAGGUGGGUUUGAGUGGUUUUGUAUGAAGAUGAGCAUAAGAGUGAUGAAGAUAGUACAUGUGAUGGAUGUGCCUAAUCCACUUCAUAAACCUUUGAUAUGGAUAGGAUGCAACUUUGUUAUUCAGACAGCCUUACUGGAACUGCACAGAGCAAAGCAAUUACACUGUGCUGUUGAGGGAACAUCCCUAAUGGGCUUCCUCAGCCAUUAAGCCUUUUCUGCAUUUAACUACCAGUAUACAAAAGAUAAAAUCACUGCAUGGCAUUGUUUGUCAAUAGAAUGACAAGUUCACUAUUUAAACAGAAAAAGACUGGCACCCAGGCUACAUGUUUCAUUAUUUGCAAACACGUUUUACGUUCCACGCUGGAAAACAAACACGUUUUACAUUCCACGUUGGAAAACAAACACGUUUUACAUUCCACACUGGAAAACAAACACGUUUUACAUUCCACGUUGGAAAACAAACACGUUUUACAUUCCACACUGGAAAACAAACACGUUUUACA
rnacentral:lncRNA from 1 species